rnacentral:tRNA from 1 species
GGUUCCGUAGCUCAACUGAAUAGAGCAUCACACUACGGAUGUGAAGGUUCAGGGUUUGAAUCCCUGCGGGAUCA